rnacentral:rRNA from 1 species
AGAGUUUGAUCCUGGCUCAGAUUGAACGCUGGCGGCAUGCCUUACACAUGCAAGUCGAACGGUAACAGGUCUUCGGACGCUGACGAGUGGCGAACGGGUGAGUAAUACAUCGGAACGUGCCCAGUCGUGGGGGAUAACUACUCGAAAGAGUAGCUAAUACCGCAUACGAUCUGAGGAUGAAAGCGGGGGACCUUCGGGCCUCGCGCGAUUGGAGCGGCCGAUGGCAGAUUAGGUAGUUGGUGGGAUAAAAGCUUACCAAGCCGACGAUCUGUAGCUGGUCUGAGAGGACGACCAGCCACACUGGGACUGAGACACGGCCUAGACUCCUACGGGAGGCAGCAGUGGGGAAUUUUGGACAAUGGGCGAAAGCCUGAUCCAGCAAUGCCGCGUGCAGGAUGAAGGCCUUUGGGUUGUAAACUGCUUUUGUACGGAACGAAAAAGCUCCUUCUAAUACAGGGGGCCCAUGACGGUACCGUAAGAAUAAGCACCGGCUAACUACGUGCCAGCAGCCGCGGUAAUACGUAGGGUGCGAGCGUUAAUCGGAAUUACUGGGCGUAAAGCGUGCGCAGGCGGUUAUGUAAGACAGAUGUGAAAUCCCCGGGCUCAACCUGGGAACUGCAUUUGUGACUGCAUGGCUAGAGUACGGUAGAGGGGGAUGGAAUUCCGCGUGUAGCAGUGAAAUGCGUAGAUAUGCGGAGGAACACCGAUGGCGAAGGCAAUCCCCUGGACCUGUACUGACGCUCAUGCACGAAAGCGUGGGGAGCAAACAGGAUUAGAUACCCUGGUAGUCC